rnacentral:piRNA from 1 species
UGCCUGGUUGCCCCGUAUACCUUAGGAC